rnacentral:rRNA from 1 species
GAUGAACGCUAGCGGCAGGCUUAACACAUGCAAGUCGAGGGGCAGCGCGGACUUCGGUCUGGCGGCGACCGGCAAACGGGUGCGGAACACGUACACAACCUUCCUUUUAGUGGGGGAUAGCCCAGAGAAAUUUGGAUUAAUACCCCGUAACAUGUUGGUGAGGCAUCGUCACUGAUAUUAUAGUGGCAACACGCUAGAAGACGGGUGUGCGUAUGAUUAGGUAGUUGGCGGGGUAACGGCCCACCAAGCCUUCGGUCAUUAACUGGUGUGAGAGCACGACCAGUCACACGGGCACUGAGACACGGGCCCGACUCCUACGGGAGGCAGCAGUAAGGAAUAUUGGUCAAUGGAGGAAACUCUGAACCAGCCAUGCCGCGUGGAGGAUGAAGGUCCUCUGGAUUGUAAACUUCUUUUAUAUGGGACGAAAAAGGCUUUUCUAAGUCGACUGACGGUACCAUAUGAAUAAGCACCGGCUAACUCCGUGCCAGCAGCCGCGGUAAUACGGAGGGUGCAAGCGUUAUCCGGAUUCACUGGGUUUAAAGGGAGCGUAGGUGGGUUGGUAAGUCAGAGGUGAAAUCUCCGAGCUUAACUCGGAAACUGCCUUUGAUACUAUCAGUCUUGAAUAUUGUGGAGGUUAGCGGAAUAUGUCAUGUAGCGGUGAAAUGCUUAGAUAUGACAUAGAACACCAAUUGCGAAGGCAGCUGGCUACACAUAUAUUGACACUGAGGCUCGAAAGCGUGGGGAUC